CUUGAGUACGUGAGGGGAGGGUAGAAUUCCCUGUGUAGCGGUGAAAUGCGUAGAUAUCAGUCGGAAGACCGGUGGCGAACGCGGCCUCCUGGUCCGAUACUGACGCUGAGGCGCGAAAGCGUGGGGAGCAAACAGGAUUAGAUACCUUGGUAGUCCACGCCCUAAACGGUGGGUACUAGGUGUAGGGCUCGUAUCCAGGGUUCUCGUGCCGAAGCGAAAGCAUUAAGUACCCCGCCUGGGGAGUACGUCCGCAAGCUUGAAUCUCACAGGAAUUAACGGGGGCCCGCCCAAGCGAUGGAGCAUGCGGUUUAAUUCGACGCAACGCGAAGAACCUUACUUGGGCUUGACAUACCUGGAACCCCCUGGAAACAGGGGGGUGCCCUCGUAAGAGGGAGCCAGGAGACAGGUGCUGCAUGGCUGUCGUCAGCUCGUGUCGUGAGAUGAUGGGUUAAGUCCAGCAACGAGCGCAACCCUUGUCCUUAGUUGCCAGCAUUCAGUUGGGCACUUUAAGGAGACUGCCGGUGUUAAACCGGAGGAAGGUGGGGAUGACGUCAAGUCCUCAUGGCCUUUAUGCCCAGGGCUACCCACGUGCUACAAUGGCCGGUACAAAGGGCAGCGAUACCGCGAGGUGGAGCGAAUCCCAAAAAGCCGGUCCCAGUUCGGAUUGGAGUCUGCAACUCGACUCCAUGAAGUCGGAAUCGCUAGUAAUCGCGGAUCAGAAUGCCGCGGUGAAUACGUUCCCGGGCCUUGUACACACCGCCCGUCACACCAUGGGAGUGGGUUGCACCAGAAG
rnacentral:rRNA from 1 species